rnacentral:rRNA from 1 species
UACGGGGGGAGCAAGCGUUGUUCGGAUUUACUGGGCGUAAAGGGCGCGUAGGCGGCCAGCACAAGUCAGUUGUGAAAUCUCCGGGCUUAACUCGGAAAGGUCAACUGAUACUGUGCGACUAGAGUGCAGAAGGGGCAACUGGAAUUCUCGGUGUAGCGGUGAAAUGCGUAGAUAUCGAGAGGAACACCUGCGGCGAAGGCGGGUUGCUGGGCUGACACUGACGCUGAGGCGCGAAGGCGUGGGGAGCGAACGGG